rnacentral:ncRNA from 1 species
GGCGCGGUCAACGAGUCGGGUUGUUUGGGAAUGCAGCCCAAAUCGGGCGGUAGACUCCGUCCAAGGCUAAAUACAGGCGAGAGACCGAUAGCGAACAAGUACCGCGAGGGAAAGAUGAAAAGCGCUUUGAAAAGAGAGUCAAAGAGUGCUUGAAAUUGCAAAUUGCCGGCCGGGAGGGAGAGGGAAGCGGGGGGCCGGCG